rnacentral:rRNA from 1 species
AGUGGCGGACGGGUGAGUAACGCGUGAGAAUCUGCCUUGGGGUCGGGGACAACCACUGGAAACGGUGGCUAAUACCGGAUAAGCCGAUUGGUGAAAGAUUUAUUGCCCGAAGAGGAGCUCGCGUCUGAUUAGCUAGUUGGUGAGGUAAGAGCUCACCAAGGCAGCGAUCAGUAGCUGGUCUGAGAGGACGAUCAGCCACACUGGGACUGAGACACGGCCCAGACUCCUGCGGGAGGCAGCAGUGGGGAAUUUUCCGCAAUGGGCGAAAGCCUGACGGAGCAAGACCGCGUGAGGGAGGAAGGCUCUUGGGUUGUAAACCUCUUUUCUCAGGGAAGAAGCUCUGACGGUACCUGAGGAAUCAGCCUCGGCUAACUCCGUGCCAGCAGCCGCGGUAAUACGGAGGAGGCAAGCGUUAUCCGGAAUUAUUGGGCGUAAAGCGUCCGCAGGUGGCGAUUCAAGUCUGCUGUCAAAGCACGGGGCUUAACUCCGUAAAGGCAGUGGAAACUGAAUAGCUAGAGUGCCGUAGGGGUAGAGGGAAUUCCCGGUGUAGCGGUGAAAUGCGUAGAGAUCGGGAAGAACAUCGGUGGCGAAAGCGCUCUACUGGACGGCAACUGACACUCAGGGACGAAAGCUAGGGGAGCGAAUGGGAUUAGAUACCCC